rnacentral:rRNA from 1 species
AUCAAUAAGCGGAGGAAAAGAAAAUAACCAUGAUUGCCCUAGUAACGGCGAGUGAAGAGGCAAAAGCUCAAGUUUGGAAGCUCAAUGGUUUAACCAUUGCGCAUUGUAAACUGAAAACAGGAUCAAUCAGGUACACCGGGUGAUAAGUUCCUUGGAAUAGGACAUCAUGGAGGGUGAGAAUCCCGUCUUUGACCCGAGUCUAGUAUCUUUUGUAUUGGCCUGUUCAAGAGUCAGGUUGUUUGGGAAUGCAGCCUAAAGCUGGAGGUAAAUCCCUCCUGAAGCUAAAUAAUGGCGAGAGACCGAUAGCGAACAAGUACCGUGAGGGAAAGAUGAAAAGAACUCUGAAGAGAGAGUUAAACAGUACGUGAAAUUGCUUAAAGGGAAGCAUAUAAAGCUAGGAUGCGAUUGUUUUCUUCAGGUUGAGCUUUGGCUUGACUGUUCAGAAGGAUAAUCCAAGACAACAAGAAUUGGAGGAGGAGAAUAAGCCAUUGGGGAAGGUAAUCCUUCGGGAUGUUUAUAGACCUGAUGGUUCGCGCUCUUCUUUCGAUUGAGGUACGCUUUUUUUAAAGGUUGUUGUCUGAAUGGCUUAUAUGGC